CCUACGGGUGGGCAGCAGUGAGGAAUAUUGGUCAAUGGGCGCGAGCCUGAACCAGCCAAGUAGCGUGAAGGAUGACUGCCCUACGGGUUGUACACUUCUUUUAUAAAGGAAUAAAGUGAGGCACGUGUGCCUUUUUGUCUGUACUUUAUGAAUAAGGAUCGGCUAACUCCGUGCCAGCAGCCCCGGUAAUACGGAGGAUACGAGCGUUAUCCGGAUUUAUUGGGUUUAAAGGGAGCGUAGAUGGGAUGUUAAGUCAGCUGUGAAAGUUUGCGGCUCAACCGUAAGAUUGCAAUUGAUACUGGUAGUCUUGAGUACAGUUGAGGUAGGCGGAAUUCGUGGUGUAGCGGUGAAAUGCUUAGAUAUCACGAGGAACUCCAGUUGCGAAGGCAGCUUGCUAAACAGCCACUGACAUUGAGGCGCGAAAGUGUGGGUAUCAAACAGGAUUAGAUACCCGGGUAGUC
rnacentral:rRNA from 1 species